AGUGACGUCAAGUCAGCAUGGCCUUUAUAUCCCGGGCUACACACACGCUACAAUGGGAAGGGACAAUAGGUUGCGAAGCCGCGAGGCGGAGCCAAUCCAGCAAAACUUCCUCAGUUCAGAUUGCAGGCUGCAACUCGCCUGCAUGAAGUUGGAGUUGCUAGUAAACGCAGGUCAGCCAUACUGCGUUGAAUACCGGUUCCCGGGGCUU
rnacentral:rRNA from 1 species